rnacentral:rRNA from 1 species
UACAGAGGUGGCAAGCGUUGUUCGGAAUUACUGGGCGUAAAGGGCGCGUAGGCGGUCUUGUAAGUCUUGUGUGAAAUCCCUCGGCUCAACUGAGGAACUGCACGGGAUACUGCGAGACUUGAGUUCGGGAGAGGGAAGCGGAAUUCCAGGUGUAGCGGUGAAAUGCGUAGAUAUCUGGAGGAACACCGGUGGCGAAGGCGGCGUUCUGGACUGCAACUGACACUGAGGAACGAAAGCCAGGGGAGCAAACGGG